UUACCAUCCCCUUCUUCACUCACUGCCGCUCUCUGAUGCACGAUACACGAUUGAUGAAGGCUCGUUCUCUGAUCUCCCUCGCUCGUCUCGUCCUCCGCUAGCUACUGCUGCUUUCGACCUCCACCACCGCUUCCUCAGAUCUCAGAACACCACAGCCAACUGCUCCUUCACGUUGCCGAUCUCGAUGUCACCGUCGACUGCUCCUUCUCGCCGCUGCUACGCAGAUCCUCUCCUCCCACAGCAUUACCAUUGCCUCCACCUCCUCCAUUCCAUAUUGUUUGGCCUUGGCUGUUGGAUGCGGCAAUAAUGCACGAGAAAUUUCUAACGUUUUCUGCUACAUGUUCACGAUCUUUGCUGCAGUGUUGAAUUUUGAGCCAUCGUUUUAUUCUCUGGGGAGUGGUGUGUUUUGGAAUCGCAUAUUAUGUACAAGGAGUUGUGACCAGGGAACGUGGACCAGUUUUUGUGACUUCUUUCAGUCCUCUAAUUAUGAUUAUCACUGCUGUAUUGGGUACCAUUGUCUUGGCUGAGCAAAUUCAUCUUGGAAGGUACUCUUAAUUUUAGUUUCUCAAGAAAGCAGAAACCAGCUUCUCUAUUUCCAUGGCUCCACCCAGAACUAGCAAGGCUUCUCUCAAUGACUAAUGGUGAUCCUCAUAAUCAAUCUAGCACAACUGUGUUAAAGGGAACUAUUGGAUAUGCUCCUCCAGAUUUGUCGCCGCUCAUCUCAUCGCCAUCAUUCAUCUCUGCACCAUCGCAAGCAACACCGUUGUCGUUGCCUUCUAUGAUCUGAUUUUCAAUCUGGCUCACCUCCUCACCUCGGCAAGCAAUGCCGUUGUUGCUGCCUUCAGCAAGCUUCUACAAUUUGGUUUCACCAUCUCAGUCACUUCUAAUAGCUAAUCUACUUAAUCUUCUUCUUUGAUUUUUUCCUUCCUCUUCAUCCUUUUAGAUCUAGUUCAUGCUCUAGUAGGAAGAAACAAAGAAUGCUGGUUCUUUUGUGUAUUUUAAUUUUCAUUGAUCUUUUGUGAUGUUGCUGUUGUAUUAUAUAGAUGAUGAUUGAGCAUAUAUGUGAAUGCUUUUUUGGAUCUAUAUAGUCUUUUUGUAAUUAUAUACUACUUUGAGAAGGUUCUUUCUCUUUAUUGCUUAGGUUUCUGGUGGUCUCAUUCAUAGUUGACCUUGAAUUGUUCAUUAUGGUAAAUUAUUAGGUGCUUAUGCAUUGUCAUUUGCUUGCAGGAAAAGGAAGCGUCCUUGAUUUUGAGUAUAGAUGCCUUUUGUAAAUUAGUAAAGCAGCAUGCUAAUGUAGCUCAGUUAGGUACCAUGUAAAUGACCCCAAGGUCCGCAACCUGUUGCUGGGGGGCCAGAGAAUUAUAUGGAGGUUUGUCGAUCUCAUGAAGCUAUUUCUUGAUUGAAUCUGUCAGUCAGAAUUUUGGGGGUCCAAUUCUGUUAGCGCUCAGAUAUUGUUAGCUUGAUACAUCAAAGUUCCCAUCGUCCAUAAAAGCAUCAAAAUUAGCGAAGUACGAGUUCACUCCAACUAAAGGAUCUCUGACAUCUGGAAAACAAAAUAGUCAUCAAAUUGAUACUCCUGCUCAGCCCCAAACUCAAGUUGACAUGAAUCUUUCAGCAAAGUUAUACUCAGUACUGCAGUUGCUGCGGGCAACUAUUCUUGGUGAAUCUGGAGACAAUGUCUUGGCUCACCACGUAUUCUGUAAUUCUCUGUUGCAGCUGAUGAGCAAGAAAGUACUAAGAACAAAGGAAGAACUCCUUGAACUCAAUGGCAUGAGCAAGUAAGUUCAUUCUACGAAUUAAUCAAAUGUACUGGUUAACUGAGUCGGCAUUCAC